ACAUCGGUGACAGGUGGUGCAUGGUUGUCGUCAGCUCGUGUCGUGAGAUGUUGGGUUAAGUCCCGCAACGAGCGCAACCCCUAUUGUUAGUUGCCAUCAUUCAGUUGGGCACUCUAGCGAGACUGCCGGUAAUAAACCGGAGGAAGGUGGGGAUGACGUCAAAUCAUCAUGCCCCUUACUGACCUGGGCUACACACGUGCUACAAUGGUUGGUACAACGAGUUGCGAGUCGGUGACGGCGAGCUAAUCUCUUAAAGCCAAUCUCAGUUCGGAUUGUAGGCUGCAACUCGCCUACAUGAAGUCGGAAUCGCUAGUAAUCGCGGAUCAGCACGCCGCGGUGAAUACGUUCCCGGGCCUU
rnacentral:rRNA from 1 species